UACGGGAGGCAGCAGUGGGGAAUAUUGCACAAUGGGCGCAAGCCUGAUGCAGCCAUGCCGCGUGUAUGAAGAAGGCCUUCGGGUUGUAAAGUACUUUCAGUCGUGAGGAAGGUGUUAAGGUUAAUAACCUUAGCAAUUGACGUUAGCGACAGAAGAAGCACCGGCUAACUCCGUGCCAGCAGCCGCGGUAAUACGGAGGGUGCGAGCGUUAAUCGGAAUUACUGGGCGUAAAGGGCACGCAGGCGGUUAAUUAAGUUGGAUGUGAAAUCCCCGGGCUUAACCUGGGAAUGGCAUUCAAGACUGGUUAGCUAGAGUCUUGUAGAGGGGGUAGAAAUUCCAUGUGUAGCGGUGAAAUGCGUAGAGAUGUGGAGGAAAUACCGGUGGCGAAAGGGCGGCCCCCUGGGACAAAAGGACUGACGCUCAUGUGCGAAAGCGUGGGGAGCAAAACGAGGAUUAGAUACC
rnacentral:rRNA from 1 species